rnacentral:rRNA from 1 species
CCUACGGGGUGCAGCAGUGGGGAAUAUUGGACAAUGGGCGAAAGCCUGAUCCAGCCAUGCCGCGUGUGUGAAGAAGGCCUUCGGGUUGUAAAGCACUUUCAGUGGGGAAGAAAGCCUUGGGGCUAAUACCCUCGAGGAAGGACAUCACCCACAGAAGAAGCACCGGCUAACUCCGUGCCAGCAGCCGCGGUAAUACGGAGGGUGCGAGCGUUAAUCGGAAUUACUGGGCGUAAAGCGCGCGUAGGCGGUCUGAUAAGCCGGUUGUGAAAGCCCCGGGCUCAACCUGGGAACGGCAUCCGGAACUGUCAGGCUAGAGUGCAGGAGAGGAAGGUAGAAUUCCCGGUGUAGCGGUGAAAUGCGUAGAGAUCGGGAGGAAUACCAGUGGCGAAGGCGGCCUUCUGGACUGACACUGACGCUGAGGUGCGAAAGCGUGGGUAGCAAACAGGAUUACAUACCCUAGUAGUC